rnacentral:rRNA from 1 species
UACGUAGGGUGCAAGCGUUGUCCGGAAUUAUUGGGCGUAAAGAGCUCGUAGGCGGUCUGUCGCGUCGGCUGUGAAAUCCCGAGGCUCAACCUCGGGUCUGCAGUCGAUACGGGCAAACUGGAGUACUGCAGGGGAGACUGGAAUUCCUGGUGUAGCGGUGAAAUGCGCAGAUAUCAGGAGGAACACCGGUGGCGAAGGCGGGUCUCUGGGCAGUAACUGACGCUGAGGAGCGAAAGCAUGGGGAGCGAACAGG